UACGGGGGAUGCAAGCGUUAUCCGGAAUCAUUGGGCGUAAAGCGCCUGUAGGUUGUUUAAUAAGUCUGUUGUUAAAGACUAGGGCUUAACCCUAGGAAAGCAAUGGAAACUACUAGACUAGAGUAUGGCAGGGGUAGAGGGAAUUUCUAGUGUAGCGGUGAAAUGCGUAGAUAUUAGAAAGAACACCGGUGGCGAAAGCGCUCUACUGGACCAUUACUGACACUCAGAGGCGAAAGCUAGGGUAGCAAAAGGGAUUAGAUACCCCUGUAGUCCUAGCCGUAAACGAUGGAUACUCGAUGUUGUGCAUUAUGUACAGUAUCUUAGCUAACGCGUUAAGUAUCCCGCCUGGGGAGUACGUUCGCAAGGAUG
rnacentral:rRNA from 1 species